CCUACGGGCGGCAGCAGUGAGGAAUAUUGGUCAAUGGACGAGAGUCUGAACCAGCCAAGUAGCGUGAAGGAUGACUGCCCUAUGGGUUGUAAACUUCUUUUAUAUGGGAAUAAAACGUUCCAUGUGUGGGAUUUUGUAUGUACCAUAUGAAUAAGGAUCGGCUAACUCCGUGCCAGCAGCCGCGGUAAUACGGAGGAUCCGAGCGUUAUCCGGAUUUACUGGGUUUAAAGGGAGCGUAGGUGGAUUGUUAAGUCAGUUGCGAAAGUUUGCGGCUCAACCGUAAAAUUGCAGUUGAAACUGGCAGUCUUGAGUACAGUAGAGGUGAGCGGAAUUCGUGGUGUAGCGGUGAAAUGCUUAGAUAUCACGAAGAACUCCGAUGGCGAAGGCAGACUACUAAACUGCCACUGACAUUGAUGCUCGAAAGUGUGGGUAUCAAACAGGAUUAGAUACCCCUGUAGUC
rnacentral:rRNA from 1 species